rnacentral:rRNA from 1 species
UAAAGCUCUUUGUCAGGGAAGAAACGGCUGAGGUUAAUACCUUUGGCUAAUGACGGUACGUGAAGAAUAAGCACCGGCUAACUACGUGCCAGCAGCCGCGGUAAUACGUAGGGUGCAAGCGUUAAUCGGAAUUACUGGGCGUAAAGCGUGCGCAGGCGGUUUGUAAGUCUGUCGUGAAAGCCCCGGGCUCAACCUGGGAAUUGCGAUGGAGACUGCAAGGCUUGAAUCUGGCAGAGGGGGGUAGAAUUCCACGUGUAGCAGUGAAAUGCGUAGAGAUGUGGAGGAACACCGAUGGCGAAGGCAGCCCCCUGGGUCAAGAUUGACGCUCAUGCACGAAAGCGUGGGGAGCAAACAGGAUUAGAUACCCUGGUAGUCCACGCCCUAAACGAUGUCUACUAGUUGUCGGGUUUUAAUUAACUUGGUAACGCAGCUAACGCGUGAAGUAGACCGCCUGGGGAGUACGGUCGCAAGAUUAAAACUCAAAUGAAUUGACGGGGACCCGCACAAGCGGUGGAUGAUGUGGAUUAAUUCGAUGCAACGCGAAAAACCUUACCUACCCUUGACAUGGAAGGAAUCCUGGAGAGAUCUGGGAGUGCCCGAAAGGGAACCUUCACACAGGUGCUGCAUGGCUGUCGUCAGCUCGUGUCGUG